ensembl:lncRNA
CGCCCCCAAGGGAUGUGGGGGCGGGCGCAAAGCAUCCCGGGAAGAGCCUUUACCCCGGAGGUUCCGCCCAACGCUUGCCGGUUAAUUCUUCUAAACGGUUAUUGACUGACUGUUAGCUACCUGCGGUACUCCAGGCCAGUAGUGAGGAAGAUAGAGAAGGUCCUGGUACUUAGGGGACCUAGAUAGUAGCCCAAGAUUACGAAGAGAGUUGUGAUGGAGAACGUGAGGUUGCUAAUCCCGUCUUGGGAGGGUCAAGGAAGGCCUCCCAGAAAGACCCGGCUUUACAGAGCAUUACUAGAUCAGAUAUCAGAGGAAGACUGUGGUUGAACUUCAGUGAGGACUUUACCAGGUUUCCCCUCCAGUAUCAACCCCAGGCUGCACUGAGCUCCAGACUGCAGGAGUCAUCCUAGGAAGAGGGAUAAAGGAAAAGGGGGAGACUAAUCUGUUCACCAGGAAACCUUAUCCUGUGCUCCAGUAGAUUCUUUUCAGUCAGCCUCUCUAGUCUGAGAAUCCAAAAGCCUGGGUUACUUGUGGUGAAGAGAAGAACUAAGUGUUAUUUUAGGAGGCUGAGUGGAAUGAUCCUUUGUGGCAGAGACGUUUCAGAGACUAAGACUUUGAAAACACCAAAUUUAGUAUAUAAAAUUGUCCAUGACAAUAAUAGUAAGGGCUUUCACAGACAUUAUCUCAUGUGAUCCUCACAACAACCCUGUGAGGUAUGGAGGCCAGGAAUUACCUCUGAGGAGGAACCUGAAUUUGGGGGAAGUUAAAUAGCUUGUCCAAAAAUCAGGAUCAAGGAGCUCUGCCUCCUAAACCAAUAGUGGUCCCAGUGUAUCUCACACCACCACCAGUGGGCAAGACUCAUGGUCCAGCUCCAUCAUUCUUUCACUCUGCUUCCUAAUAGAGACUUGCUCUAGGAACUGGCAUGCUCAGAGAUUGUGGAUCUGGGCCUUCAUAGGAAGGUGAGAUUAACACCUCUAGGUAGCCCAGAGUUGACUAGACAAGACCUUACCUUUUAAUGCUAUACGUAUCUUUGUUCCUCUUUUUGACUCUGCACUAAAGUUGAGAGACUAGAGUGAGUGACUAGGACUGAAUUUUCACUUUCUUCUCCCUAUGCAAGCCAUAAACAUUCAUUUAUUCAUGGAUAAUCUGAUUUUCCAUAUUAAGUUACUAAAGCUCUGUGAUCCAUCUCUGUUAGUCACUUUAAAGUGGAUAAAAAUAUUUUCUAGUUUUCCUUUGAAAAUUUCAUGAAGGGUUUUCUGUAUGUCAUGUUCAAUCGAUUUUUUUCAGUCCUUGUCCUUUGCAGAUGAAGGGCACUAAUUUCCAGAACUGCAGGUGCGUGUAUAUUCCUUCACAUGGGACUUGCCCCUGCUCACAGAGGCUCAGCAUCUGAUUCAAGGCUUUCAAAGGCUCACAGGAUUGCUCCCCAUGGCAAAUAGAACAGAAAGGGAAGUCUUGGCCCAGAGACACCUCAGAUGGAACAAAACAGGUGAACAAAAGUUGAAGGACCCUGUCCUCCUACAGGAAUCCUGAACUCAAUAGUCCAAUCCAUGGCCAGUGACUCACUGUGAUCAGGAUUCUACCAUGGAUCCCUCUACCACCCCCAAGAAGGUCUGUGAGCUUCAAGCCCUCCCCUGUUCCCCAUAUUCUAAUCUUCCCUAAGAGUCUCCAUCUUAGGUGUCUCUCUGUCCCAACAUAAUUGAUUUUGAAAAGGAGGAAAAGGUUAAUCUCUGCUGGUGGCUGGCCCUAGGAUUCCUUUGUCAAAUUAAUGUGUCUGUUUUCCUACAUGUUAGUAAACUUUAUUUCUCUAAAUGGUAGAGGAAUGGAAAAAUGGAUCCCAUGCUAUACAGAAAGUAUGAAACGGAAUUAGAACCCCAAGACUCACUGAGAUGCAUUUGAAAGCAGAGUUUAUCUGAAGUGCACCUCAACCUCAGACAGCUGAGGAGCCGUGGGAUAGUGACAGUGUUCUUGAGGGUGGGAGAAGGCCCUUAAUGAGGAAGGUGAACUCACAGUUCCUCUUUACAGCAGCCAGCCUAAUAGCUCCCUCCAGCCUUCCCUGGGUCUUCCAGAUCCUUCCAUCUUUCUAUGUCAUAGAUACACUGUAGCAUUAUUUUCUGUUUAUUCCUCCUCCAGCACUAACUGCGUUGUCCAUUACCUCCUUGGUCACCUGAGCUUUAAUCUUACCAAUUAUAUAGACUUUGAAAACCUGAAGUUCUUCCAGGAAUUUUUGCUAAUUCCCAGAGAUCUGCAUUCUCAGGAUUUCCUGUGUUCUCAGGUUCAGCUUCCUACCUCCCAGGCCAAACAUAAGACACAACUCCACAGUCACUCAUGAGAGUCCACUUUCACAUAAAAGCGUUAGUGAGCAAUGCAGUCUUUACAAAAGACAUUGUAAGAGUGAUGAAUAAGGCUAUGUGUGGGGAGACCGACCUCCUGGCAAACAGCUGUAAGAUAUCUGACUGCUAAAUUAAGCACUGAAUUAUUUCCUUCCCUGAGACAGUCCUAUCCCAGAGCACUCAGUCCUUUCCCAUCCAGAUGAUGAGGUUUUGCUGAACUGGCAGCAAAACUAUCUCUCAAGAAUGAGGGAUAGAUUCUCAGUUAACAUUGCUUCUGAGAUAGCAUUGUUUUUAGGUCCUUUCAAUGAACAGAAAAAGGAAAAAAAAUUAACCAUGAGUUCAUAUUAAUAUGUACAAUUCAAAUGUAACACCAGGUUUUUACUUUGUAUCUCAUUUCUCCCACAAUGAAAACUUUGGAUCUUAGUAACAUUAAUGUUAUUUGUUCUAUCCUACUAUAUGUAUAUCCAUAUAUAUAUAUAAAUGUAAUUUUAAACUUGUAUAAGCAUUCCACCUAAUAAUAAAAUUGAGUGAAGUUUCAAGUUAUUUGCAGUUUUUUUUCCUGAGAAUAUACCCUACCAAGAAGAUAAACCAGAAGAGCAUGUUCCAAAGUCACUUGAAAUAUUUCUUAAUCUCUAUGUGGGUAUAUAACCAAUUUGAUAAAGAGUUAAGGUUAUUGGUUUCAAUUCAUUCUCAAUUUUAGGAUUAGCUUUACUUUCCC